CGUAAAUAACACUGCACCGCUCAAACGUCAGAUAGUGAACUCGUGCAUCGGUCCAUUGUGGUGAUUUCGAAAUGUCAAACUAUUGAUUGUUGUGAAAUGGAUGCAAUUGAGAUGGUGAUGAUCAUGUGGUACUACGACCAUUCAUCUCUAGUGGCUUCAUUCAGCUUUAACACUGCCCCUGAUUAAACGACUGAUUACAAUCAGGACAGCUGCCGAUAAUGAAGGCUAGUAGACGUCCUUCUGUCUCACUACCACAAUGGGUACUCAGUGAGUAGAUCUUCAUGAACAUGGGCCCAAUUAACACAAAUUAAAACUUCCUAAGAAUCUUCUUACAAUCACUGCCUCCGCAGCAUUGAGAAAAGACGUCGAAGAGGUCAAGCAUCCGAAGAGCAUCGCGUACGAAGACUGAAUGAAAUAGUGGCUCUAGAAGAACUAUUAACAGAGGAACUCUGUCCGUGCUGAGACGAACUUCCCUGGAUUCGAGUUAUGUAACACCCACAUGAUUUCACUUUCGGUGUUUCAACUCCACAGUGACGAAAAUGCUCAUCAUAUCAAUCACCACUUCUGAAUGGGUGUUGUCGCGCAACGUAGUUUGCAAUGAAAUUUAAAAUUAAAAAGAACUAUUUAUGAGCUAAGAGUAUCACAAAUUUGAAAACCUAGUUAAUUGAAAAUGCC
rnacentral:lncRNA from 11 species